GUGGUUAUAGCCCAGGUGGUAGAGUUCUUGCCUUGCAUGCAGGAAGCCCUGAGUUCAAUCCUCAGCACUACA
rnacentral:tRNA from 1 species